UGAGGUGUAGCUCAGUGGUAGAGCACUCACCUAGCGUGCACAAAAGCCUGGGUUUGAUUCCCAGAAUCACAA
rfam:Heterocephalus glaber contig218497, whole genome shotgun sequence.